rnacentral:lncRNA from 1 species
AGCCAGCAGCAAAUAAUCCCAAAGGAGGUAAACAUCUAAAAGAAAGGAAUGAAAACAGGUUUUAUUUAUAAAUGCCUCACUGUUGGAACCUGCAUGAAUGAAAGCUGAAUCUCAAAGAUCAGACACGUUGGACUUGGAAUAAUGUCCAUGUUAUGAUUCCAAUCUGUGCCUAAAUCUGAACCACUCAGUUCUUCAUGCUUGUUGGAAUCCUCCUAAAAUUGGAAUUUCCUGGGAGAUAUCCAGUACUUUUUGGGCUGUAAACAGCAAAACAAACAGCCUUUCUUGUAAUAUGCUACGUCUAGUGCUAACUGAAUUCAAGAAGUUUAUGAGUGUGGGGAAAGUAACUUGAUGUCUUUGCAAACUUACAAAUUUGCUUCAGUUUAAAUUUUGACCAAAAAUUCAUCUCAGGAAUAUGUUUUGGAAUAAUUCUUUGCUAUUAGUUAUAAAUGUGACAAAUAUCGUUUAAACAAUAAAAU